rnacentral:tRNA from 1 species
GCACUCGGGGCAAACACUGCAAUCGCCUUGCACGCGGGAGACCCGGGUUCGAUUCCCGGCGGGGGUC